UACGAAGGGGGCUAGCGUUGCUCGGAAUCACUGGGCGUAAAGCGCACGUAGGCGGCUUUCUAAGUCAGGGGUGAAAUCCUGGAGCUCAACUCCAGAACUGCCUUUGAUACUGGAGAGCUUGAGUCCGGGAGAGGUGAGUGGAACUCCGAGUGUAGAGGUGAAAUUCGUAGAUAUUCGGAAGAACACCAGUGGCGAAGGUGGCUCACUGGCCCGGUACUGACGCUGAUGUGCGAAAGCGUGGGGAGCAAACAGG
rnacentral:rRNA from 1 species